rnacentral:rRNA from 1 species
UAAUACGUAGGUGGCAAGCGUUGUCCGGAUUUACUGGGCGUAAAGAGCGCGCAGGCGGUCGUUCAAGUCGCGUGUGAAAGCCCCCGGCUCAACUGGGGAGGGUCACGCGAUACUGAUCGACUCGAAGGCAGGAGAGGGUAGUGGAAUUCCCGGUGUAGUGGUGAAAUGCGUAGAUAUCGGGAGGAACACCAGUGGCGAAGGCGACUACCUGGCCUGUUCUUGACGCUGAGGCGCGAAAGCUAGGGGAGCAAACGGGAUUAGAUACCCCGGUAGUCCACGCCGUAAACGAUGGGCACUUGGUGUCGCGGGUAUCGACCCCUGCGGUGCCGAAGCUAACGCAUUAAGUGCCCCGCCUGGGGAGUACGGUCGCAAGGCUG